AAGAGUUUCACAGACAAUCUCCAGUCCAUCUUCCAGAAUCUUGAGAGCAAAAUGAUCAGAUUUAUGAGGAAUGAACUGGAGAAAUUUAAGAAAAUCUUACAA